rnacentral:rRNA from 1 species
AGGACGAACGCUGGCGGCGUGCUUAACACAUGCAAGUCGAGCGGAGAAUAUAGCAAUAUAUCUUAGCGGCGGACGGGUGAGUAACGCGUGGGCAAUCUGCCUCAUACAGGGGGAUAACACUGGGAAACUAGUGCUAAUACCGCAUAAAAUAGUGAAGUGGCAUCACUUUACUAGUCAAAAGGAGCAAUCCGGUGUGAGAUGAGCCCGCGUCCGAUUAGCUAGUUGGAGGGUAACGGCCCACCAAGGCGACGAUCGGUAGCCGAACUGAGAGGUUGAUCGGCCACAUUGGGACUGAGACACGGCCCAGACUCCUACGGGAGGCAGCAGUGGGGAAUAUUGCGCCAAUGGGGGAAACCCUGACGCAGCAACGCCGCGUGAAGGAUGAAGGUUUUCGGAUUGUAAACUUCUUUGAUUGGGGACGAUAAUGACGGUACCCAAAAAACAAGCCACGGCUAACUACGUGCCAGCCGCCGC